rnacentral:snRNA from 1 species
GUGCUCGCCUUGGCAGCACAUUUAAUAAAAUUGGAACGAUACAGAGAAGAUUGGCAUGGCCCCUGCACAAGGACGGCAUGCAAAUUCAUGAAGCGUUCCUUAUUUAA